rnacentral:rRNA from 1 species
GACGAACGCUGGCGGCGUGCCUAACACAUGCAAGUCGAACGGAGAAUUAGCAAUAAUUCUUAGUGGCGAACGGGUGAGUAACGCGUAGACAACCUACCCUUUAGAUGGGGACAACACCGCGAAAGUGGUGCUAAUACCGAAUAUUGCUUGAGAAGCGCAUGCUUUUCAAACUAAAGAUGGCCUCUAUUUAUAAGCUAUCGCUAAAGAAUGGGCCUGCGUCUGAUUAGCUAGUUGGUGAGAUAAAAGCUCACCAAGGCAACGAUCAGUAGCCGGUCUGAGAGGAUGAACGGCCACACUGGGACUGAGACACGGCCCAGACUCCGACGGGAGGCAGCAGUGGGGAAUCUUCCGCAAUGGACGAAAGUCUGACGGAGCAACGCCGCGUGAGUGAUGAAGGUUUUCGGAUCGUAAAACUCUGUUGUUAAGGACGAAUGUAUAGAUUGUGAAUAAUGGUUUAUAAUGACGGUACUUAACGAGGAAGCCACGGCUAACUACGUGCCAGCCGCCGCGGUAA